UGAGGGAGAAGUUAAAGCUUGCUUUAACGGAAACCGGCGCACGGGUGCGUAACGCGUAUGCAACCUACCUAUUACAGGGGAAUAGCCCGGGGAAACUCGGAUUAAUACCCCAUAGUACCACAUGAUGGCAUCUGAAAGUGGUUAAAGCUCCGGCGGUAAUAGAUGGGCAUGCGUAAGAUUAGAUAGUUGGUGAGGUAACGGCUCACCAAGUCGACGAUCUUUAGGGGGUCUGAGAGGAUGAUCCCCCACACUGGUACUGAGAUACGGACCAGACUCCUACGGGAGGCAGCAGUAGGGAAUAUUGGUCAAUGGGCGAAAGCCUGAACCAGCCAUGCCGCGUGCAGGAUGACGGCCUUCUGGGUUGCAAACUGCUUUUCUAUAAGAAGAAAAAGGUCUUGCGAGACCAAUUGACGGUACUAUAGGAAUAAGCACCGGCUAACUCCGUGCCAGCAGCCGCGGUAAUACGGAGGGUGCAAGCGUUGUCCGGAUUUAUUGGGUUUAAAGGGUACGUAGGUGGGUCUUUAAGUCCGUGGUGAAAGCCUGCAGCUUAACUGUAGAAAUGCCAUGGAUACUGGAGAUCUUGAAUUCAGUUGAGGUUGGCGGAAUUUAUGAUGUAGCGGUGAAAUGCAUAGAUAUCAUAAAGAACACCUAUUGCGAAGGCAGCUAACUGGACUUGAAUUGACACUGAGGUACGAAAGCGUGGGGAGCGAACAGGAUUAGAUACCCUGGUAGUCCACGCCGUAAACUAUGGAUACUCGUUGUUGGCGAUAUACUGUCAGUGACCAAGCGAAAGCGUUAAGUAUCCCCACCUGGGAAGUACGACCGCAAGGUUGAAACUCAAAGGAAUUGACGGGGGGUCCGCA
rnacentral:rRNA from 1 species